AACUACGUGCCAGCAGCCGCGGUAAUACGUAGGGAGCAAGCGUUAUCCGGAUUUACUGGGUGUAAAGGGUGCGUAGGCGGCUUGGUAAGUCAGAUGUGAAAUGUAUGGGCUCAACCCAUGCACUGCAUUUGAAACUAUUGAGCUUGAGUGAAGUAGAGGUAGGCGGAAUUCCCUGUGUAGCGGUGAAAUGCGUAGAGAUAGGGAGGAACACCAGUGGCGAAGGCGGCCUACUGGGCUUUAACUGACGCUGAGGCACGAAAGCGUGGGUAGCAAACAGGAUUAGAUACCCUGGUAGUCCACGCUGUAAACGAUGAUUACUAGGUGUGGGGGGUCUGACCCCUUCCGUGCCGGAGUUAACACAAUAAGUAAUCCACCUGGGGAGUACGACCGCAAGGUUGAAACUCAAAGGAAUUGACGGGGGCCCGCACAAGCAGUGGAGUAUGUGGUUUAAUUCGAAGCAACGCGAAGAACCUUACCAGGUCUUGACAUCGAGUGACGAAUCUAGAGAUAGAUUUUUCCUUCGGGACACAAAGACAGGUGGUGCAUGGUUGUCGUCAGCUCGUGUCGUGAGAUGUUGGGUUAAGUCCCGCAACGAGCGCAACCCUUGCUAUUAGUUGCUACGCAAGAGCACUCUAAUAGGACUGCCGUUGACAAAACGGAGGAAGGUGGGGACGACGUCAAAUCAUCAUGCCCCUUAUGACCUGGGCUACACACGUACUACAAUGGAUGUAAACAGAGGGAAGCAAAAUAGCGAUAUGGAGCAAACCCCUAAAAGCAUUCUCAGUUCAGAUUGCAGGCUGCAACUCGCCUGUAUGAAGUUGGAAUUGCUAGUAAUCGCGGAUCAGCAUGCCGCGGUGAAUACGUUCCCGGGCCUUGUACACACCGCCCGUCACACCAUGGGAGCCGGUAAUACCCGAAGCCAGUAGUUUAACCGUAAGGAGAGCGCUGUCGAAGGUAGGAUUGGCGACUGGGGUGAAGUCGUAACAAGGUAGCCGUAUCGGAAGGUGCGGCUG
rnacentral:rRNA from 1 species